rnacentral:rRNA from 1 species
GACGAACGCUGGCGGCGUGCUUAACACAUGCAAGUCGAACGGAGUGGCGAACGGGUGAGUAACACGUGGGUGACCUGCCCGGCACUUCGGGAGAAGCCUGGGAAACGGGGUCUAAUACCGGAUAGUGUGGGAUGGGCCAGGGGCCUAUCAGAUUGUUGGUGGGGUAAUGGCCUACCAAGGCGGAGACGGGUAGCCGGCCUGAGAGGGUGGACGGCCACAUAGGGACUGAGACACGGCCCAGAGGCAUACGGUAGGCAGCAGUGGGGAAUAUUGCACAAUGGGCGGAAGCCUGAUGCAGCGACGCCGCGUGGGGGAUGACGGCCUUCGGGGUGUAAACUCCUUUCACCAUCGACGCGGUAGAUGGAGAAGAAGCACCGGCUAACUACGUGCCAGCAGCCGCGGUAAUUC